rnacentral:rRNA from 1 species
GAUUUCUGGCACGAUGCGCCUGGCCCGCCACGGUUUCGUGUGUGAGUGCCGGGUCGGAUCUGCCAUCCUUCCAGAGAACGUUCCUACCCUUCACUGGGCCUGGGGACGCAAUCUGGAUCGUUUACUUUGAAAAAAUUAGAGUGUUUCAAGCAGGCGACUCGCUGUGAAUACAUUAGCAUGGAAUAAUAACUUAGGACUUCGGUUCUAUUUUGUUGGUUUCUAGGACUGAAGUAAUGAUUGAUAGGGAUAGUUGGGGGUGCUAGUAUUCAGUGGCCAGAGGUGAAAUUCUCGGAUUCACUGAAGACUAACUUAUGCGAAAGCAUU